rnacentral:rRNA from 1 species
AGAGUUUGAUCCUGGCUCAGGACGAACGCUGGCGGCACGCUUAACACAUGCAAGUCGAACGAGAGAAGAGGAGCUUGCUUUUCUGAUCUAGUGGCGGACGGGUGAGUAACACGUGAGCAAUCUGCCUUUCAGAGGGGGAUACCGAUUGGAAACGAUCGUUAAUACCGCAUAACAUAAUUGAACCGCAUGAUUUGAUUAUCAAAGAUUUAUCGCUGAAAGAUGAGCUCGCGUCUGAUUAGCUAGUUGGUAAGGUAACGGCUUACCAAGGCGACGAUCAGUAGCCGGACUGAGAGGUUGAUCGGCCACAUUGGGACUGAGACACGGCCCAGACUCCUACGGGAGGCAGCAGUGGGGAAUAUUGCACAAUGGAGGAAACUCUGAUGCAGCGAUGCCGCGUGAGGGAAGAAGGUUUUAGGAUUGUAAACCUCUGUCUUCAGGGACGAAAAAAGACGGUACCUGAGGAGGAAGCUCCGGCUAACUACGUGCCAGCAGCCGCGGUAAUACGUAGGGAGCGAGCGUUGUCCGGAAUUACUGGGUGUAAAGGGAGCGUAGGCGGGAUCGCAAGUCAGAUGUGAAAACUAUGGGCUUAACCCAUAAACUGCAUUUGAAACUGUGGUUCUUGAGUGAAGUAGAGGUAAGCGGAAUUCCUAGUGUAGCGGUGAAAUGCGUAGAUAUUAGGAGGAACAUCAGUGGCGAAGGCGGCUUACUGGGCUUUAACUGACGCUGAGGCUCGAAAGCGUGGGGAGCAAACAGGAUUAGAUACCCUGGUAGUCCACGCCGUAAACGAUGAUUACUAGGUGUGGGGGGACUGACCCCUUCCGUGCCGCAGCAAACGCAAUAAGUAAUCCACCUGGGGAGUACGACCGCAAGGUUGAAACUCAAAGGAAUUGACGGGGGCCCGCACAAGCAGUGGAGUAUGUGGAUUAAUUCGAAGCAACGCGAAGAACCUUACCAGGUCUUGACAUCGUAUGCAUAGCUCAGAGAUGAGUGAAAUCUCUUCGGAGACAUAUAGACAGGUGGUGCAUGGUUGUCGUCAGCUCGUGUCGUGAGAUGUUGGGUUAAGUCCCGCAACGAGCGCAACCCUUACUGUUAGUUGCUACGCAAGAGCACUCUAGCAGGACUGCCGUUGACAAAACGGAGGAAGGUGGGGAUGACGUCAAAUCAUCAUGCCCCUUAUGACCUGGGCCUCACACGUACUACAAUGGCUGUCAACAGAGGGAAGCAAAGCCGCGAGGUGGAGCGAACCCCUAAAAGCAGUCUUAGUUCGGGUUGUAGGCUGCAACCCGCCUACAUGAAGUCGGAAUUGCUAGUAAUCGCAGAUCAGCAUGCUGCGGUGAAUACGUUCCCGGGCCUUGUACACACCGCCCGUCACGCCAUGGGAGUCGGUAACACCCGAAGCCUGUAGUCUAACCGCAAGGAGGACGCAGUCGAAGGUGGGAUUGAUGACUGGGGUGAAGUCGUAACAAGGUA